rnacentral:rRNA from 1 species
CCAUGAAGCUGGAUUCGCUAGUAAUCGCGCAUCAGCCACGGCGCGGUGAAUACGUUCCCGGGCCUUGUACACACCGCCCGUCAAGCCAUGGAAGCCGGGGGUGCCUGAAGUGCGCUGCCGCGAGGAGCGCCCUAGGGUAAAACCGGUGACUGGGGCUAAGUCGUAACAAGGUAUC